rnacentral:misc_RNA from 1 species
AAGUCGUAACAAGGUUUCCGUAGGUGAACCUGCGGAAGGAUCAUUAAAAAAAUAUAGCAAACCGAGCGUCAGCGAGGUUUUGCGAUCAAAAUUGUAUUUAAAACCCAACUCUUUGAAUCAAAUAUAUAGUAUGUAUUUUAAAAAUAAAUAAAGAUAACUUUCAACAACGGAUCUCUUGGCUCUC